rnacentral:RNase_P_RNA from 1 species
GGAAGCCUGAAACGCAGUCGCUGCCGGUGCCUUUGGGCAUGGGUGGAGGAAAGUCCGGGCUCCGAAGAGCGGGAUGCUGGUUAACUGCCAGUGGGGGCAACCCCAAGGAAAGUGCCACAGAAAAUAUACCGCCGAUGGCCGACACGGGUGGAACCACCCGGGCCGGCACAGGUAAGGGUGAAAAGGUGGGGGCUGCAAGCCUUAAUGUAAGAGCCCACCGCGGGCCUGGUGACAGGUCCGGCAUGGUAAACCCCAUCCGGAGCAAGUCCAAGUAAGGUGGCUGUGACGCUGCUCGCCGAGCCACCGGGUAGGAUGCUUGAGCCAUGCGGUAACGUAUGGCCCAGAGUAAUGGCUGCGACCCGCCUUGGCGGGGACAGAACCCGGCUUAUUGAAGGCUUCCACUU